UACGAAGGGGCUAGCGUUGCUCGGAAUCACUGGGCGUAAAGGGUGCGUAGGCGGGUUUUAAGUCAGAGGUGAAAUCCUGGAGCUCAACUCCAGAACUGCCUUUGAUACUGAAAGUCUUGAGUAUGGGAGAGGUGAGUGGAACUGCGAGUGUAGAGGUGAAAUUCGUAGAUAUUCGCAAGAACACCAGUGGCGAAGGCGGCUCACUGGCCCAUUACUGACGCUGAGGCACGAAAGCGUGGGGAGCAAACAGG
rnacentral:rRNA from 1 species